ACAAUGAAGAGUUUGAUCCUGGCUCAGGAUGAACGCUAGCUACAGGCUUAACACAUGCAAGUCGAGGGGCAUCAGGAAGAAAGCUUGCUUUCUUUGCUGGCGACCGGCGCACGGGUGAGUAACACGUAUCCAACCUGCCCUUUACUCGGGGAUAGCCUUUCGAAAGAAAGAUUAAUACCCGAUAGCAUAAUGAUUCCGCAUGGUUUCAUUAUUAAAGGAUUCCGGUAAAGGAUGGGGAUGCGUUCCAUUAGGUUGUUGGUGAGGUAACGGCCCACCAAGCCUUCGAUGGAUAGGGGUUCUGAGAGGAAGGUCCCCCACAUUGGAACUGAGACACGGUCCAAACUCCUACGGGAGGCAGCAGUGAGGAAUAUUGGUCAAUGGGCGUUAGCCUGAACCAGCCAAGUAGCGUGAAGGAUGAAGGCUCUAUGGGUCGUAAACUUCUUUUAUAUAAGAAUAAAGUGCAGUAUGUAUACUGUUUUGUAUGUAUUAUAUGAAUAAGGAUCGGCUAACUCCGUGCCAGCAGCCGCGGUAAUACGGAGGAUCCGAGCGUUAUCCGGAUUUAUUGGGUUUAAAGGGAGCGUAGGUGGACUGGUAAGUCAGUUGUGAAAGUUUGCGGCUCAACCGUAAAAUUGCAGUUGAUACUGUCAGUCUUGAGUACAGUAGAGGUGGGCGGAAUUCGUGGUGUAGCGGUGAAAUGCUUAGAUAUCACGAAGAACUCCGAUUGCGAAGGCAGCUCACUGGACUGCAACUGACACUGAUGCUCGAAAGUGUGGGUAUCAAACAGGAUUAGAUACCCUGGUAGUCCACACAGUAAACGAUGAAUACUCGCUGUUUGCGAUAUACAGUAAGCGGCCAAGCGAAAGCAUUAAGUAUUCCACCUGGGGAGUACGCCGGCAACGGUGAAACUCAAAGGAAUUGACGGGGGCCCGCACAAGCGGAGGAACAUGUGGUUUAAUUCGAUGAUACGCGAGGAACCUUACCCGGGCUUAAAUUGCAGUGGAAUGAUGUGGAAACAUGUCAGUGAGCAAUCACCGCUGUGAAGGUGCUGCAUGGUUGUCGUCAGCUCGUGCCGUGAGGUGUCGGCUUAAGUGCCAUAACGAGCGCAACCCUUAUCUUCAGUUACUAACAGGU
rnacentral:rRNA from 1 species